CGGCGGGCGAGGAGGCGCGCGAGGGCGGCGCGGUCACGUGCCGCGAGCCGGUGCGCGCACCUGCGGCCCUCGGCGUCCCGGCGUCCUCGCUCCCCGUCCGGUGCGGCCCCACCCGCCGGGUGACGCCGGCAGGUGCUCCUCGCCUGGAGCGCGACGUGCGAGUCUGGGGCCGCCGGCUAAGAGACGGACAGCGCCACGCGUCGUGGGUCGCGGGCCGGCGUGCUGUGCACGGCUCCGCGAUCUCCGCCGACCCCCGUGCGCACCGUGACCGGGCCGACCGAGCAGUGCUGACGGACUGGCCAGUUCGCGUCCAGUGUCAGUAGGAGAGGCUUUGUCAGGUGCCUGGACUUCUCCUUCCUGGUGGGUGAGCCGCGGAACAGGCUGCAGCACUGCGGACCGCGGACGACAGAGCCCUGAGCUCGCGGCCGCCGGCUGUCCUCGCCCCGCUGAGCUGGCGGGCGGGCGGCGCAGCCAUAGGAGCUCUCUGCUCCUGCGCGGACCCAGGCGCCAGCCUCGCGCCCCUGUCCUGUCCUGCACAAGGGUGGAGCAGCACCUGUUUGCUCAGGGCAGUUGAAACAAGGGAGCAGAUAUACAAUGUAUACGCAGUAAGCCACGGUUAAACGUUACCAGGGGAGGAUGAAAUAAACUAAGUAUCUCAUUCCAAAGCCUUUCUUCCUGGUUAAUGUAUUUGACUAGAAGUAGAGAGCCAGAAACCUGCCCUAAGUGUACAAACAACCGAACUAAAAUCCAAAAUUGGUUCAUUACAAUCAAUAGUCUUCCUUCUCUUUCAGAGAAUGGGACAAUAUCAGUUUCUCUUUUCACAGCAGUUGUGUAAUGAUUUUAUCUACUUCCUUUCCUGCCCUGGAAAAGGCAUUAUUGUUUGUGUGCUAAUACCCGUGGCUUAUCUUUCCUGUACUUGUGCUCAUGAUGAUACAUUUAUGUGUGUUUAUGAAGUGUGCCUAGCCAGAGCCGUGUAAUUAUUUUUGUUAAAUGCCAUCUCAAGUAACAAUAAAAAGUAACUAUCAUAAACGAUAACAUUAUAUCUUGUGAUAAAAAGAUAGCAUCGAUAUGAAGUAGAUGACCCUCUAAUUAAUUAAUUAAUUUUGUAUUUUGAGACAGUUUCACUAUGCAGUUAGGCUGGCCUUGAACUCACUUUAUAAUCCAAGCUGGCUUUGAACUUGCAGCAAUCCUCCUGCCUCAGUGUCCAGAGUGCUGGGAUCACUGGUGUGCACCCCCACGCCCACUCUUGAUGAUGCUCUAAUAAUUCCAUCCCUAAUAACCUUUUCCUAAAUGCCAGAAUUUGUAUGAUUAGUUAGUAUUUUCUCUCAAAAACUAAUAUGUACAUUAACUACUAUUGCUCUGACUUGAUGUACAAAUUGUCAAAGGCUGUAUUUCACACUAGAACUUGAUUCUUGGGCUAGGAAUGUACUUUAGUGGUAGUGUGUUUAAUCUUCAGUACCUUAGAAAUAAAAGAGAUUGAUCUUGAUUUUUUUCACCUAGGACAUCUAGGGGGAAAUAUGCCUUCAAAGACUUACCAGUGGUCAGUUACUGUCGCAGUUACUUUUUACUCAUCGCUGAGACAAAAUACGUGAUGCCCAAAGUUGGGAAAGGAAAGGUUUAUUUCUUACAGUUUUUGGAGGUUUCAGUGCACGCUCAAUUGGCUCCAAGGCAGGGUGGCAUGGCGGGGCCACAGUUCAUGGUGGCUGCAAAGAGCAAGGCAGAAACCAGCAAGAGAGGGAGACAUACCUUCUUCCUGCCAUUACUUUAUAUGCUGGCUCCACCCCUUGGUGGGUGUAGCACUGACCCCAUCAACCCAAGCACUAGACAGUGAACCAAUCACAAAUGCAUAAUGCAAAUGCAUGAGGCCUGGGGGUCACCAAUGUAAACCCUGACAGUUACUAAGCGCCAAAGUUACUUUUCUCCUGAGACAAAAUACUGGGCACCCAAAAUUAAGGAAAGGCUUAUUGUAGCUCACUGUGUAGAAAUUUUAGUGUAUAGUUAGCUAGCUCCAAGGCAGGGUGGCACAUGCCAGACAGGCAUUGCAAAGGAAAAACAGUUCAUGGUGGACAGAAAGUAGCAAAGCAAAAAAGAGAUGGCCACGACUCUAUCCAUUGCAUCUUAUCCAGACUAUGUAAGGUGAGUGACACUGUUACCCUUGAUUCUAGUCCACUUGGGCCUAGCAUUGCACCAUGAGUCUAUGCCAGUGUUACACACUCUAUAUCCAGCCACCUCUGAUAAAGUCGCGCCUAGACACAAACCAUGAGGGUUAACCAUUGGUAGGUUCAUAAUUUGGUGACACCUUGGGAAGAGAUAGAGACCACAGGUGGGUCUCGUUGAAGGGAGUUUAUAGGGUCCUGACUUUGGAGAUGGUAUCUAGCCCGUGGCCUCUUCCUUUCUUCAGCCCGCCACUACGUCUUGGUCACUGUAAGCUGAGCAGCAUUGCUCCUCCCAUCCUGCCAGGGUGCUCUGCCUCAGCUCCAGCACACAGCAGUGGAAACAGCCCACCAUGGGCUGAAACCACUGAAAUAUGUCUUUCAUCCUUCAUGUUCUUUUUCUUGGUAUUUGGUCACACUGAUUGGUACUAAAGUCUGUCCAUUUUGAUACUGUUUUCUUAAAUAAGAUUUUAAUUCCUGAAUUAGUAUAACUGCUUAUCUCUCCAGCUAACUUGUAAAUUUAUACCUACAGUACUGUACCCAACAUAUUUCUAACAUAAUAACAAAUAGUUAAAUAUAGACAUUUAACAGUUUUAUUAUUAGUUUGUCUUCUUUUGUCUAUGUAUUGUAUAGCACGUGUAUGUUUAUAUGUAUAAAGUUAUAUAUGGUAGUAAGAAGAUAAUACUACACAUUCUCACACAUGAUAUACAGCCACUUUCUAACAACUGAGUAUGUAACAGUAUCUUUCAAUUGGCUCAUCCAGCUGUUCACCAGGCCUGACAAUGAACCAAACAAUGAGGGGGAAGUCAGGCUAUGUCAGUCUUAGGUCCUUCCUUCAACCUAGCUGAAAGAAGUAAUUCAGUAAUUCUUUAGUCACUGAGUUACACUAACUAGGAGAUUACAAAGUAAUCCUCUGAUUGGCUGCUGAAUUGCUGAGUCCCUCGAGACAGUUGUGCCUGAAGUAUCCUGAAGAGUUUGGGUUGGCAAGUUGGAGUGAAGAAGCAGCAGUUGGGGGGACGAGUAGAGACUGCUGAUUAUGUCAUUAUGGUUUAGCUUCAUGUGAUCAGGGGAUUUUUUCAGUGGUAGUUGAAUCUAGAGCGUGUGAUUCAUAGUGCAAUGCUGGGAUGAAGGGUGCUGGGAUUAAAGGUGUAUGAUUGCUGGGGCAGUCCACUGUUUGGACUGACACUGCACUAAUCCUGAUAGACUGGAUACAAUUUAAGGGAUAGAAAGUGUCCCCCCAGCGGUGUUUGUCUUUCUCUGUCUCUCUCUCUGUCUCCAUCUCUCUGUCUCUCUCAUUGCUUUCACUGUCUUCUGCCACCCUAAACAGUUGCCCCACUAUGAGGGAGAUACCUUGCUCUGGAGCCAGACAAUUAUGGACUGAAACCUCCACAAACUGUGAGCUAAAUAAACCUUUCCUUAACUUUGGGUGUUGGGUAUUUUGUCUCAGCAACAAGAAAAGUAACUAAAACAUAUCCCUAAAUCCAUUUUUGGUCUCCCUCUUUUUUAGAACUGACAAGUUUUAGCAGGAUAUAUGAUAUUAUAGUCUACUUUGUGUUGUUAUAGUAAGACCUGAGGCCAGAUAAUUAUGAAGUACAGUCACAGAGGCCAAAGGUCCAAGCUCAAAGUGUCACAUCUGAGAAACAUGGAUGCUGCCUCCUCAGGAGAGAAGAAAGGAGGUCCAGUGGACAGAAAAAAAAGAAAGAGUAGCCAUGACCUGUCAUGACUUGUACUAGGAGAACUGAUGACAGCCCUGAGGACAAGUAACCCAGGGCAUGUUGCUUCCCCACAGCUGCAUCUUCCAGCUGUUGCAUCCAGUUUCAACCUUAGAUUUCUAGGAGGCAAAGUCGUUAAUCACAGCCUUCAGUCAUCAUAAUAAAACUGCACUUGGCCUCUGUUAUGCUUUGUGUCUGGAUGUCCCCUCUUUAAAGCUUUAUGCAUCAAUGGGGGGGGGUGUUGAAGGCAACUGAUUUCAGUGUUUGUGAUUAGUUCAUUGCCUAGUGCUGAGAUUGGGAGUGUGAGUGCUAUACCUGCUCUAGGAAAGGUAGCCUACCUACAGUAAAAAGGAGGAAGAAAGACUCCCUUUUUGCUCCUGUCCAGAGACUUUGCCCGAGUCUAAAGUUAAAGACAACAAACUAAUUAAACUGGCAGAAGAAAUUUUAAGGCAGUCAAAUUCGAGGCAGUGUCAUAACUACAGUUGGGAACUUUCUAGUCAGAUUUAUGUAGCGAAUCAAGAGUAAAGAGUCCAGUAGAAUGAUUUAAAAUAUUCUGAGUUUGACCAGAAAGCAAGCUCCAGUAAAGCUGUGGACUGCAAAGAUAGAGGAAAGGAGAACUUGAUUACAGAACAGGAACAGGAGAGUAAGAAGGAUGAUAUGAAAGAAUCACAGGACUCCACCCUUUACAGCCUCAAAUUGCAAAGUGAAAGACUCUGAAAAGAGAACCCCAGAGUACCCUGUUCCAGAAUGGUGGCCACAUAGAGAAUUUGUUCCUCGGAAUUGGAUUCAGAGUGCCCUGUGAUCCAGGCAUUGAUUCCUGCAGCCAAGUGAGAGGGAAGCCUGGCUACUUCUCCAGCUGGCAGCAGACCUUGGCAUCAUCCACGUGGCACUGGUUUUAGGUGAAUGCAAAAUGGAAGAGUUGUAGAACUAAGAAGUCUUUCACCCCAAUUUUAGAAGACCUGGCCUGGAAGGCCAGGCAGUAUGCCCCUGAAAGGGCAGCAUGUGAGGCUGUGAGGUGAAGCCAAAGGUUCAGUGGAGACUCUAAAAGUUUGGAAGAGCCAAGGAUGUGGAUCAUCUAAGGAGACCUGCAAGAAGGGAGCAAAGCAGACGCAUGAGAGAAGCCAUGGGAGCUACAAUCACAUUAAGUACCAUAGGAGUGGAGCCACCCAAGCACUUUGGAGUAACGUCUUGCCACAGAUUGUUUCAGAUGCUACAUAUGGGACUACAGGACUUAAUGUUUGCCCUGCUGGAUUUUGGAUUUGCUUUGGUCUCAAUCCUUUGUAUGCCUUGUGUAUAACUUUUAAGAUGAUAAUGUUUAUCCUGUACCAUUGAAUGUUGGAAGUAUUUAAUUUUCAUUUGUACAGGGACUCACAGCUGAGAGUUGGCCUUAUAUCUCGGAAGAGAUUUCAGACUUGGACUUUUCAGCAAUACUGAAACUUAGAACUUCAGGAGCUCUUCGAGAUGGAAUAAAUGCCUUUUACAUAAAAGAAUGUACAUGAGUCUUUUGGGGGCCAGGGUCAGAAUCUUAUGGUUUGUGUCUUGAUGUCACCCCAAAUCCUCAUGUGUGGGUGUGGGGGGGUACUUUUCAGAGGCAGCUGAAUCUAGAGUUUGUGAUAGGUUCAUUGUCUAGUGCUGGGAUUGGGAUGUGAGUGCUCUACCACCCUACGAAGGGAAGCCUGCAUGCAGUGUAAGGGAGGAAAAGAAGCUUGCUUCCUCCUCUUUGCUUUUGUUUUUUGGUAUCUCCUGCCACCAUGAACAGUUGCUAUUCAGCCACAUCACCCUGCUUUGGAGCCAGCUGAGUAUAGACUAAAACCUGCAACCUUAAUUUUGAGUGUCAGAUAUUUUGUCCCAGCAACAUAAGAAAAGUAGGUUGCCAUGGAUAUGCGUUUCAGUUAAAGGUGAGAGCAACAGUGUGCAACACAUGAAAAGGGUCUUGCGGCAAGGCAGGGCCACUGCUUCCUUUUUUCCCGUUGCUAACUGGAGUGAAGACAGAGUUCAAAACCCAUUUUGGUCUCUCCAAUGCUUUAGGGCAUGCAGAUCUUACAUGAAGGUGUAAUAACACAGAAGGAGCAGGGCUCAUUAGUGCAGUGGCCUGCAUCUCUCUGAACUGAAUGACUGUUUUGUUUGAGCCACAUGUAUUUUGGCCCAACUGUCACUUGCAACUGAAUUCAGUCCUAGCCCUUUGGGGUACAGUGAUCCGGCUUGAUUUGCAGAGCAUGUGUUCCAUAUCCUGUGGGAGGCCCGAGGCACUGAGAGUAACAAGCCGGCAUGUCAGUGCUUUCUUACAGAUACACACACACACUUGUGAGAAAGUGUAAGUUAAAUACAGCAAUCAAUCAACACUAAUCAACUAGAGCAAUGGUGGCAAACCUAUGACAUGUGUGCCACAGCUGGCUGUUUGUCAUUGAGAGUUCCAAGAGGUGCACGUCAUGGAACGAGAACAAUGCAACGUGCUAUGCUGCAGCUAUGGAAGUGUGUGUGCGCUGCACUCGCCCUCCUUGUGGGAGGUGACACAAUGCCCAAGGAAUGCGAAGAAGUGAGAGGCUCAGGAUAUGGCAGUAGGAUGCAGAGUUAGGUGACCGCGCAUGUGCUUCAUCAACACAGGUCUCUCUACGGUCAGUGGCCACCAAGGUGGUCCCAAGGGGCUGACAGGAAGCAGUAUCCGCAGAGUGGACAAAGGCAUGGAUUACUGUGCCUGCAGGACAGAGCAGGGCACACAAGAUUUCAUUGUGUGACAUAAAAAAUACAAUUAAAAACCUGUAGAUUGUUUAUUUCUGGAAUUUUGCAUUUAGGAAGUUCAGACUGUGGUUGGUUGCAGGCAGUUAAAACCACAGACAGUGGAACCCUGAAGGAGGGCAGAGUCCUGUAGUCAGCACCCCAAGACUCAGAGAAAAUAGCAGUUGUCACCCCGAGGAGUUGGAAAACCAAUCAAUAGCCUCAGUUUCAGCAUGCAAAUCUACUGUGGAGUGUGGAGCAAAGUGUAGAGAGUUUCUGUUAUAAUGUAGGCAGCGCUGGUGUUAUUUAGGUAGAAAACUUAAAAGUAAUAUCCCGUGAAACCCAAGAGGAGGCUGUAAAACAUCUUGAAGCAAAAGCAUUACAAUCCAUUGGCUUGCUGGACAUGGUGGUACAUACCAAUAAUCCCACAAUCGGGAGUCUGAAGCAGGAAGACUCCUGGGAGUCCAAAGCCAAUCUGAGCUACAAAGCGAGUUUAAGGCCAGCUUGAACUGCAUAGUGAAACUCUGUCUAAAAAAAAAAAAAAAAAAUCCAGUGACUGACAGGGUAUGACGUCUAAGAAAAGGUAAAUUGGGUACCAAGGGCAUGGAAAGUGUCAAUGAAAAUACCUAAUGUUUUAGAUUGGUGUUCUAGACUAUAACGUAUCCAAACCAUCCUUAAAAAUAGAAAAGUCAGGGUCAGGGUGUUAGCUCCCCAGCAUAAGCGCCUGCCUGGCAAGCUCGAGGUUGAGAGUUGGAACCCCGAUACUCCUCCUGCCCCUGAACAGCAAAAUCAAGGGGCGAAGGAAAGAAAAAGCAGCAAAUCAGGAAGGUUAAACUAUGUAACCUUAAAUUGAUACUUAGGGAGUCAGGGAAUUUCUGGAGGGUGUACUAGCAGUGAAAACAGGAAGUUAUGGAAGGGAGGAGUGUCAAACAGAAAGGACAGUUAACAGGCAGAAGAGUGCAGCUGGAUGGGGCGCAGGGUAACUAUGGUUGACACUGAUUAACUGUAGAAAGGAUAUUGAAAUUUCCUGACCCACAAAAAAUAGAUAUUAGGUUGACAGAUAUAUGAAUACCUUAGUCUGAUUGUUAUACAUGGCAUAUGUUUCAGAAUAUCACAAUUUACCACAUAAUACGUAUAAUUACUACCCCUUAAGGGUUUUUUUUGGAGCAAAUGUUGAGACAGCAUCUUACUUAUGGAGUUCAGGCUGGCUUUGAACUCAGCAUGUAGCCCAGGUCAGUCUUGAACUCAUCGUGACCCUCCUGCCUCAGCCUCUAGAAUGCUAGGAUUCUAGGCAUGCACCACCAUGCCCAGCCUCAUCCAUUUUAAAAAGUUUUUAAAAGGUAUAUCCCAAGGAGUAUUCAGACAAAAAAGUAUUCAUAUUACUACAGAUGAGAAUAGCAAGGAAAAAACAGUAUGAUAGAAAGCUAAAACACAGCCAAGAGAAAGACCCAGAUAAAGUGUGAGGUCCAGUGUCACUGCAAUUUCACAUUAAAGUAGAAAAACCUGUCUUGUACAAAACAAGAUAGCAUUCUGACACGACUACUCCUAGCCCUUACUGAUUAACACCAGUUUGGUUUCCAUCUAUAUUAAGUUCCUCUGUUUACCAGGGCUAAUGAUUCUGACACAGACUCUGAGGCUAAAUCAGGUAUUACCAAAACUCUUCAUUGUUGUAUGACUGUUUUGUGCCCAGUACUGUAAGAGUGGAAUCAUUAAGAGGAACACAUGGGUAAAAUCUGCCUUGCAUUAGUAAAGCUGCUUCAUGUCAAGGACAGGACAGUGGCAGGACAGUGGCAUGCCCCUGUAAUCCCAGCACUCAGGAGGCUGAGGCAGGAGGGUCACCGAGUUUGUGGCCAGCCUGAACUGCAGAGCAAGACCCUGUUCAAAAAACAACAUAAGCAAAACAAAACAAAGGAAGCACUGCAGAGAACACAACAGGUUCAGACCCUCCACAGACUCAGCCUCAGGAAUAGACAGAACCCUGAAGAGAAGCAUGGAGAAAAACUUACCUGGUGUUUCAGUUAUUUUUUUCUCAUUGCUGAGGCAAAAUAUCUGAUGCUCAAAAUGAAGGAAGCAAAGGUAUGUUUAGCUUUCAGUGUUUUGGAAGUUUCAGUCCAUUCUCAGCUGGCUCCAAGGAAGGUUAGUGUGGCUAAGGGGCAAUUGUCACGGGAGCCACAAAUGACGAAAACUAAAAGGGCAAAAAGGGGAAAGCAUGCCUCUUCCCUCCCUGAUACUGUAUGUCAGCUGUCUACCCCAUGGUGGGAACAGCACGCACAUCAUCAAUCCCAGUGCUAGACAAUGAGCCAAUCACAAAUGCUAGACUCAGGUGCCCUCAAAAGACUCACUGCUCCCCAUGACCACAUGAGGAUUUAGGGAGACAUUUAAACACAAACCAUAACAUUCCACCCCUGGAACCCCAAAGACUCAUGCACAUACUUUAUGCAAAAGACAUUUAGUCCAUCUCUAAGAGUUGCCAAAGCCCUAACAGUUUCAGCAUUGCUGAAAAGUCCAAGUCCCAAGUCUCCUCUGAGAUCUAACACAAACUCUUAACUGUGGGUCCUUGUACAAAAUGAAAACAAAAUUGAACACUUCCAACAUUAAGUGGCACAAGACAAACAUUUUCAUUCCAAAAGUGAUGAACAGGGGGUUAAAAAGCAUUGAGACAAAAGCAAGUCCAAAAUCUAACAGGGUAAACAUUAAGUCCUUUAGUAGCAUUCCAGCAUCUGAAGCAAUCUGUGGCAAAUUGUGAGCUCCAAAGGGCUUUAUAACUCCACCCCUAUAGCAUUUGUGGUGGUUGUAGCUCCCAUGGCUUCUCUCUUGGGUUUGCUGUGCUCCAUCUUUGAAGGUUUACUUAGCCAAUCCAAGCUCCUUGCUCUUAUAAACUUUUGGGGUCCCUGAUGUACCUUUGGCUUCAUGUUCACAGCUUCACACACUGCCCUCUCUGGGUACACUGCCUGACCUCUCAGACCCUCUGAAAUUGGGGUAAAAGCCUUUUUAACCUCAGAACUCAUGCAUUCUGUAUGCACUUAAUGCCAGCACACAUACAUGGUGCUGAGGUCUGCUCUCAGUUGGAGCAGUAGCCAGGCUUUCCUCUCUCUUGGCUGUGGAGGUCAAGUGCCUGGAUCCCUGAGCACUCUGAACCUGAUCGUGAGGAACAAAUUCUCUAUGCUGCCAUUCUGGAACCUGGUGUGGCUGCAACCAUUUUGGAACUUUAUGUCAUUCUGGAACACGGUGCUCUGUGGCUUUCUCCUCAAAGCAAACUCUUUCACUUUUGCAGUUUUGAGGUUGCGAAGGAUGGAGACCUACCAUUUCCUGUGGUGCCCCCAGGCCAUCUUUUCUAAUCUUGUGUUCCUUAGCAAUGGCUAGCUCAACUCUGUCUCUAUAGUCCACAGCUUUCCUGAAGCUUUUUUUUCUGGCCAGACUCACAAUGUUUUAAAUUAUGCUGCUGGGCUCUUCGUUCCUGAUUUUCAACAUACAUUUGGCUAAAGUCCCCAGAAAUAACUAUGCCACUGUCUCAACAUUUGACUGCCUUGAAAUUUCUUCUGCCAGAUUAAUUAGUCCACUGUCCUUAAUCUCAGUCUCAGGUAAAGUCUCUGGACAGAACAAAAUGCAGACAAAUUUUCUAGCAAGCCAUGACACACAUUCUGUGGAGUCUAACAACCAAUGCAGUCCUUCUUCCCAACAGAAACCUCCUGAGCCUGGUCUUUACUGGCCUUCUGACAUCCUGAGCUCUGACUAGAAUCCCCACUAUGGGAUAGGCUAAGGAGUUCCAGAUCUGCUUCUUCAUUUCCAACCCUUUCCAAACUUUUCCCACAAUCCAUCCCCAAAUGUUCUUGAACCACAUGGUCAGGUACAGUCACAACAAUGACUGCACUCUUGGUACCAAAUCUAUUUUAGUUACUUUUUUCUCAGUGCUGAUACUAAAUACCUGACACCCAAAAUGAAGGAAGGAAAGGUUUUGUUAGCAUACAGUUUUUUUGGAGGUUUUUGUUCAUACUCAGCUGGCUCCAAGGCAGGGUGGUACGGUUAAGGGGCAACUGUUAUGAUGAUCACAAGCAAUAAGAGCAAAAAGCGGAAAGCAUACCUCCUUCCUUCCCUUAUACUAUGCCAGCCACCCCUCCCUGGGCAGGUACAGCACUCACACUGCCAAUCUCAGCACUAGACAAUGACCCAAUCACAAAUGCUAGCCUCAACCCCCUUUGACAGGUUCAUCCUUCAUGACCAAAUUAGGUUUUGAGGAGAUAUUUAAAUGCAAAUCUUAACACCUGGUAUAACUAAUCACCACAGGUCAAGUCACUUAAUGGAAUAUCUGUGCAGUUUCCUGAGAUGACUGGCAUGUAGGCCAGCAAAUCAAGGGGGAGAACCUGCCCCCAAUUGUGAGUGGCACAAGCCAAUAGGCUUGAGGCCUGGAUGCAGUGAAGGAGAAGAGGAAUCUAGCUUGCAAGUGAAGAGCUCCACUGUGUUUGGGCAGCCUCCUAGGACCUGCACACCUCAGGCCUUGCCGUCAGCCAUGCUGUGGGGCUCUGCGCCCAAGCUCUGUCCACUUCACUGUGCCUGGAGGAGUCAGCAAAUAGUGCCCACCUUGGUCCUGUGGCCUGUGAUGCAGGCAGAAGAGCGUGUGUCCCCUGGGAGCCGCUGUGGCUGCUGUCUCGGGGACAGGAGGAAUGUGAGCAGAGCCUGAAGGAGUGGAGCUCACAGACACGAAUGAAGCACCCUCCCACCUGCAGGCCUGUGCUGGCAGAUAUCCCUUUGGAGACCAGUUUCACCAGAGCUUUGGAACUCAGGAAAAGCAGACUGCACUGUUCAGUGUCCGGGUCCUCCCUGCCCAGCUGCUGGCAGCAAAGAUUGCUGUAGACUUUCAAGGUCCAGAUACCAAGUGUGAAGGAGCAGAGCAGCCACAGGAUGGCAGCACCCUAAAGAAUAAAGGAUCACUCACUGGCGGUCCUCCUGGGAUUUGGAGAAAUCCCUGGGAACCCAGGAAAAAACUCAAAUGGAAUCACUGUGCCUCCUCCUGGAGUCCAGAAGGUGAGAGAGUCAGUCAAGCCAGUGACCUGUGCUCGAGGACACAGAAAACUGUAGAGAAAUAUUGGUUCCUGGAUUUCGUGCCCACACAACAUCCCUGUAUGGGACAUGCACACUCAGCAUGUACACUGCUCAGGGCGCUAAUUCACAAGUCCACAUCGUCCACCGCACAACAGACUGCUCUCAGACCUCACCUCCUCAGGGUGCUGGAAUGAACUCCUUCCCAAGGGAGUGCUGUGGAUGACUUUUGGAAGUCUUAACACUGUCUCCAGUCCUUCAGCCACACUCGGGGAAGCAUCUUCAAACACAAGAGGCCUCGGAAUCAAGCAAGAAAAAUUCUUGAGCCUCAUGACCCUGAAGAGGUGAUUGAGGGCUCCCGUUUAGAACUAUCACUUCUGUUACCCACAAAAUGACUGGAGAUGAUAAGACCAGGAAGUUGCUCUGUUUGCAGGAGUUUUGAAAGUACGCGUUUGUUUCAUUAAAGAGGGUGCAGCAUGCUCUUCUGGGCUGGAAUUGGCUCUCUGCUAUUCUGGCUCUGGUUCUCUGUGGGUGUGGUAGGCUUUGAAGAUCAAACUAAGCAUCCACUUUUUCUCUAAGCACCACAGCCUGCUUCUCAUCUUUAAAAUUAAUCCAGCAUGAAAAGCUCUGCCACAACUGACUCCAAACAACCUCCCCGCCUCUGUCUCGGUCUCUGCAGCGGGCUCAGGAGCUCUGGCAGCAGUGAUGGCCCUGUUCUUACUGGCAAGGCCUAAGUAUUGUCUUUUCCCUCGGCCUGCCCCCCAGGGCCUCCCUUCUGCAGCCCCCAAGCCUCCUACAGCUGUGCCUCUCUGGGGCCAGCAGUGGACAUGACUGUCACCACUGCACCGGUCAGUGCACAGCCUCUCCUGUGUUGCAGGGCUGCUGAGCUCUGAGUGACCCAAUGGAGGCGGGCACUGUUCCUUGUCUGUGUCCCUGCUGACAUUUGGCACAGUGUGCGUCACACUAGACAACCUGACAGUGGACAGGUCAUCUAUGUUUAUCCCAUUUUCUCUCAAGUUCAGCUUCAUUCUUCUCGUCUUCACUAUGAGAUAGGUGAACCUCCCAGACACAUUUGUAAUGAGCACUUAUAUCUCACCUCAGUCCAGACAAAAGGGGCAUCAGGCAGUGCACAUUACCUGCUUAGCAUGUAGGAGAACUGGGCUCCCUACGGCUCAGUAAGAAAAGCAGAAUUUAUUUUGCUUAUGUGCAACUUUGCCAAGAUGAAACCCCUGACCUGUGUCACCAUGUGCACAGUAAUAAUGAGGGGGACAAACAAGUGCAAGGAGACCCGUCACUGUGAAAAGAUGAGCACCGGGAAACACUUAAAUGCUUGCUCCCAUGGGGACCUGUCCUUUGAAAGGCUGUACCUGUUGUUGGCCGCCAUCUCUUUCUCUGGUCACAGAGCUGAUCUUUUUGGUUGGAGCCUACCUGAGGGACGCGGUAGCCAUGGUGACGACAUGUCCUACUUUGACUUUCCACAGAAGCUAGCACUUCUGUGGCUGUGCAUCCUUGUGGGAUUUCAGGAGCCAGUCAAGUGUUUAAACUGCGGGAUCAGGUCUUGACUAGAUAAUGACUUUCUCCCCCAAACUGGUGCAUUUUGAGUCAGGAGUGGCAACUGAUGGUAUAGACACCCCACAGCUUGUGAACACGAGGUCCUUGCAAACCAGAUAGGCUGGUCUCACGGAUGGACAGUGUAAUUGCUUAUGUCUAGAGGUCCCCCAAGGCCCCAUGUGGUCAUUUUCAGAGACAGCUGGAUCUGGACUGUGUGAUCCUGGGAUUAAGGGUAUGUAAUUACUACAUUGGCCUCCUGAUUGGUUUGGCACCACUCUAAUCUCAGUAGCCUGAUAAGAUAAAAGGGGCAGAAAGUGAUGUUUAAAUUCCCUGUUUGUUUUGAUGUCUUCUACCCACCAUGCACUCUUGUCAACUACAAAGCUGUCUUGCCUUGGAGUCAGCCAUGAUGGACUGAAACCUCUACAAACUGUGAGCUAAAUAAACCUUUCCCUCUUAA